UCCAAUUAAAAAAAUCCAAACACCCAAAUAAAAAUUUCACCAUUAAACCGACUUGUUGGUAAUCGGACUCGGAUUUAAUCACCCGAUCCGAUCGUAGUUCCAUUAUAUAUCGUAAAUCGUUCACAAUCUUAAUUUUUUCCUUUCCUAACAGGUAACAGCAUCGGGUGGCGGCGACGGUGGCAGUGAAUCUCGAAUUCCUUCCUUGGUCGACCAGCAGUCCAAUGCAUAACGCACGCCUUCGUCAGAUUCUUCUAGUGAACUACCUGCGAAAGACGCGGUACAUGGAAUUCGGUAAAUGCUACGUUCAGCUUUUCCCCAAAUCUACGAAUGUUCAUUUCUUUAUUCUCAAAAAUCAACCCAAACGAUUCGACGGAUCAAGGCCUGGAUCCGGAAGGCGCUAGGUAUACACAAAUCUGCUUCUAUUUGGUAUUUUUUUGGGAAUAAAUAGUAAAUCUUGUCUCCGAAUUGAUGUGUUUCUUUUUAUAUAAGAUCACAGACGUCGAUUGAGGUGUUUGUGCAAUCUUUUAGAUGUGUUUGUAGAUUCAUUUUUUUAUCAGUGCGAGAACACAAGGCAAAAUUAAUUUCCAAAUAGUCUUUGAUUUGUGAGUUGUAAAACUUUUGGUUUUUUGUCUCUCCAAACCUCUCCCCCCAUUACACAUUGAAUCAACAAUCAAUCAAUCUUUUUUUUUUUUUUUUUAUAACUUAGAUUACCUCUCCACAGAUAUAGAGCUUCAGAGCAAGAUUCAAACCCUAAUAGUGAUUCCCAAAGUCUUUGAAUUUUAAAUACAGUAAAACCAAGAUGGGUGUGAAUUAUAUGGUUUAUAGGGUAAAUGCAGUAACACCAAGUUGUGAACAUUUUUUGCUACCCUAAAUCCUAGCAUGAUUGAUGUAAAGAAAUGGAAAAGGGAUGCAUAAAGGAGAGAAAAUCCUAAAUCAUUAAUUGUGGUGGUUCAACACCAGCUUAGGCAGGCAGUGACUAUUAUAAAAAAGAGCAUUUUUCCAGUCAAACAAGCACAGAUAAAUUCAAAAGAAAAUAAUAAAUUAUAUGUGGUUGAAAAAAAAGGAUCUUUACUUUUUUUCUGUAUUUUAAAUUAUAUGUGUGGUUGAAAAAAAUGAUCUUUACUUUUUUCUGUAUUUUUUAUUUUUUUUACAGCUAUUGAUAUUUCCAACAAACAAAGAACUCAUUAACAAUUUCACACACUUACCCCAAAUUAAUCUAUAGAUUUUCUGGAAAAGGUUUACUUAUAGAAUUGAUCAAUGAAAAUAAUAUAGAAUUGUUGUUUUAUUUUGAUAAAAAGAAGCAAUUCAUAGCUGAGUUUAAAACAAACAUAUAUACUUGUGGAUAAAUCAAGGACUCACAAUCUCCUUCCCUUCUUGAUUUUCUUUGCCAUUCAAGAAUUCAGAAAACCAGAGAGCUGAUGCUUUGGGAUGUCUUUUUAAACCAUUUUUGUAAUCAACGUAAACCAGACCAAAUCGCUUUGUAUAACCCUGAGCCCACUCAAAGUUGUCCAAAAGAGACCAUGCAAAGUAUCCCCGAAUAUCUGUGCCAUCCCUAUUGUCACAAUGCAUAAGAAAAAUUAUAACACUUGGUUAGAGGAAGGAUAUCUUGUACCUAAUAUAGAUAGAUAUACCUGAUUGAUUGAGCAACAGACAAAAGAUAUCCUUUGUAAUAACGAAUUCGCAUUUCAUCAUUUAAAAAGAAAGAAACUGGUUUUGUCCCAUCAUCUUUAUCGUCCAUGCCUGUUAGAGCAUAUGAUAAAAUAAAAAUUCCAAGUAUGAUUUCUAUUUUCUGCUUCAAACUUACCAUUUUCAGUGACGUAUAAAGGGGUAUUUUCAUAACGUUUGUAAAUGUAAUUUAGUAGUUUCCUCAAGCCCCAAGGAACUACAUAGAGCCAAUCUGAUGCAGCCUGUUGUAAAUUACAAAUUAUUAUGUAUGGCCCUAUAAUGAAAUUGUUUGAUAUUGCUAAAUUUGUUUAACAAAUAAUACCUUCUCACCAAUUGGCUCACCUUCAGCCGAUUCAACUACAAAAAGAGAAGUUGGGAUUAAAAAAAAACACAGAAAAAAGUUUCAAUAAUUCAGGGCAACUCCCCUCAUAUUUAUAAAUGAAAAAUUUAACUGUUUCAAAAAAAAAAAGUUUCAAUAAGAUCGUACCUUUUAACUCGGCUUCUUGUGCGUUAAAAUAAUUCUUUGAAUUUCCAAUAAGAUCUUUGUGAGCAACAAAUCUUGUUGUGUAAUGAUUAAGACCAAUGAAGUCAACUGAAUAAUGUAGUAGUUUGAUUUCCUCGUCUGUGAACUUCGGAAGGUUUUUGCCUAAUUUUUCUCGCAUGGAACUAGGAUAUUCUCCAAAAUAUAUGGGAUCCAAAAUCCUUCAAUGUAAGAUAUUUUAAAUCUUUAACAAAAGAGAAGAUAUUUUUAAAUAAAUUAUGCAGUAUCAAGAAUUCUUUAUAUCUUGUAAUAAAGUUUUAAUGAAGUUUAGAUAAGGUUUUCAACUAUUUGUAACUAGUUGGAUUUUAACACUGUGAUUAAAUUAGAUUUUGGAGCUUUUAAUAUGGAAUUUCAAGGUUAAAUUGGACAAGAGUGACAGAUUCAGUCAUUCAUAAAAAUGAAAACAUACCAUCCAAGAUUAAAAUCAAGGUGUCUUUGUGCAGCCUGUUUAUCUUCAUUUUUGUCAGAAAACGGCUCUGACCAUUCAGAAUCUGCCACCAGACCAAUUUGACCUCCUUGUUCAACCUACAGUAUAUGAAAAAUAUGACAGUUCUGAAUUCUCAUAAUUUUAAUUUAAAAAUAAUAAGAGUGUGUACCUUAUACUUUUUUCUAUAUAUCGCAACAGCCUGUGCAUGUGCUAAAAGUUGGUAAUGUAUUGCUAAAUAAGGUUCAAUAUCUGGGUUUUCCUUCCUGCCAGGAGCAAAUAUUCCAGUACAGUGACCAUUUAUUGCUGUUUGGAGAGGUUCAUUAAAGGUAAUCCAAUGUUUUACUCUGUUUCCAAAAUGCGCAAAGCAAGUUUCUGCAUAUAUUGCAAAGUAAUCCCUGCAACAGAUCAUAUAUUUUAUUUUUAUUUUACAUAUUAAAGUUCCAAAAAUGCUACUUUUCGUUUUUUUUAUAAUUUUUUAUAACAAAAACGAUAUUUUUUUAUCUAAUCAAUUUUUAUUCAUAGAUUUAUUUUUAUUUCACAUUAGUACUGACAUAUAAUCAUUAAAAAAAAUCAAACUAUUAUAUAAAUGCGUCAUACAACUCGUAUACGGUAACAAGUACAACUUAGGAUAAUGUAACAUACAACGUACAAUUAGUUAUACAUAGUUUAGUUAUUGAUGAAUAAUGCAUUGUCAAUCGAUGGAUUAGGAUCUAACGGUCGAAAAUAUUUCGACGCAUUUUGGUACAUGGAAGGUUUGACGCAUCUGAAACUAGCUCUAUAUAAAUAUUUGGAUAUCGAAUGAUGAUAAAUCUUCUUUCAAUGGAUAAAAUAACUCAC
rnacentral:lncRNA from 1 species